rnacentral:rRNA from 1 species
AGUGAACGCUGGCGGUAGGCCUAACACAUGCAAGUCGAACGGCAGCACAGAGGAGCUUGCUCCUUGGGUGGCGAGUGGCGGACGGGUGAGGAAUACAUCGGAAUCUACUCUGUCGUGGGGGAUAACGUAGGGAAACUUACGCUAAUACCGCAUACGACCUACGGGUGAAAGCAGGGGACCUUCGGACCUUGCGCGAUUGAAUGAGCCGAUGUCGGAUUAGCUAGUUGGCGGGGUAAAGGCCCACCAAGGCGACGAUCCGUAACUGGUCUGAGAGGAUGAUCAGCCACACUGGAACUGAGACACGGUCCAGACUCCUACGGGAGGCAGCAGUGGGGAAUAUUGGACAAUGGGCGCAAGCCUGAUCCAGCCAUACCGCGUGGGUGAAGAAGGCCUUCGGGUUGUAAAGCCCUUUUGUUGGGAAAGAAAUCCAUCUGGUUAAUACCCGGGUGGGAUGACGGUACCCAAAGAAUAAGUACCGGCUAACUUCGUGCCAGCCGCCGCGGUAA